UGGUUUUAUAAUCAUUAUCAAGAAGGCCCUGCCAUUGUACUGGUUGCAUCUCUGUUUUUGUACUUAGGGUCACUAAAGAAGCCAGAGUGGAGGCUGCAGGGAAUACGGAUUUAAAUGAAUUUUGGCUGUACCAUCAAGCAGUCUGAUCACUGAGGAAAUAUCAAAAGCUUCACCCGAGUGACUCAUCACCCAAAUUCGACAGAGACUUGCCAAAGAAGCUGCUUAUUUCACAGAAGGAUGGUGCUGGCUAAAAGAUGCUUCCUUGAAACUGAGAGACUGCUGCCUUAGACAGGUCUCCUUGAAGAGGCAUGAGCCACCGAGUCCAGUCCUGACUCUGCUCUUGUGA
rnacentral:lncRNA from 1 species